GCUCUUCUGAUCUCUUUACCUCCUAAAUAUUUCUCAAGUGAAUUCUUCUCCAUUUCUACAACUACCAUUUUAGUUCAAGGCCUCAUAACCCCUCACAUUUCAAGAGCUUCCUAACUAUUCUGCCUUCAGUCUUUCCCUUAUA